rnacentral:misc_RNA from 1 species
GAAAUGCGAUAAGUAAUGUGAAUUGCAGAAUUCAGUGAAUCAUCGAAUCUUUGAACGCACAUUGCGCUCGCCAGUAUUCUGGCGAGCAUGCCUGUUCGAGCGUCAUUUCAACCAUCAAGCUCUGCUUGCGUUGGGGAUCCGCGGCUGCCCGCGGUCCCUCAAAAACAGUGGCGGGCUCGCUAGUCACACCGAGCGUAGUAACUCUAUAUCGCUAUGGUCGUGCGGCGGGUUCUUGCCGUAAAACCCCCAAUUUCUAAGGUUGACCUCGGAUCAGGUAGGAAUACCCGCUGAACUUAAGC